rnacentral:rRNA from 1 species
AACGAACGCUGGCGGCAGGCCUAACACAUGCAAGUCGAACGCCCAGCAAUGGGAGUGGCGCACGGGUGAGUAACGCGUGGGAAUGUACCCUUUAGUACGGAAUAACCUCGGGAAACUGGGAUUAAUACCGUAUACGCCCUUCGGGGGAAAGAUUUAUCGCUAAAGGAUCAGCCCGCGUGAGAUUAGAUAGUUGGUGGGGUAAUGGCCUACCAAGUCUACGAUCUCUAGCUGGUCUGAGAGGACGACCAGCCACACUGGAACUGAGACACGGUCCAGACUCCUACGGGAGGCAGCAGUGGGGAAUAUUGGACAAUGGGCGAAAGCCUGAUCCAGCCAUGCCGCGUGAGUGAUGAAGGCCUUAGGGUUGUAAAGCUCUUUCGGUGGUGACGAUAAUGACGGUAACCACAUAAGAAGCCCCGGCUAACUUCGUGCCAGCCGCCGCGGUAA